GGCUGUGGUGGAAGAGGCAAGAAUCAAUCCAAAGGGCAUACAGCUAAGGUUUGCAUGGUAAGCUAACAGAAAAUAUGACCAAAAACCUAAAUGGCGAUUAAAAAAACACUUAAGAAUGUCUCCCUCAACUCAAAAACAACAGCAGCAACAAAA